rnacentral:tRNA from 2 species
GCCCUUAUAGCUCAGUCGGUAGAGCAUGCGGCUGUUAACCGCAGUGUCAUAGGUUCGAGUCCUAUUGAGGGCGCCA